rnacentral:rRNA from 1 species
AAUGAACGCUGGCGGCGCGCCUAAUACAUGCAAGUCGAGCGAGAAGACGUAGCAAUACGUUUGUAAAGCGGCGAACGGGUGAGGAAUACAUGGGUAACCUACCCUCGAGUGGGGAAUAACUAGCCGAAAGGUUAGCUAAUACCGCGUACGCUUCUUGGACUUCGGUUCAGGGAGGAAAGCGAUGCCGAGGGUAUCGCGCUCUUGGAUGGGCUCAUGUCCUAUCAGCUUGUUGGGAGGUAACGGCUCACCAAGGCUUCGACGGGUAGCUGGUCUGAGAGGACGAUCAGCCACACUGGCACUGCGACACGGGCCAGACUCCUACGGGAGGCAGCAGUAAGGAAUAUUGCGCAAUGGGCGAAAGCCUGACGCAGCGACGCCGCGUGGGGGAUGAAGGUCUUCGGAUUGUAAACCCCUUUCGGGAGGGAAGAUGGAAUGGGGUAACCCAUUCGGACGGUACCUCCAGAAGCAGCCACGGCUAACUUCGUGCCAGCAGCCG